rnacentral:lncRNA from 1 species
CUUUCUCUAAUGUAUUCUCUCUAAUCGUGCAACUUAAAGAGUAGUUCAGGGACCAGCAUCACCUAGGAGCUUAUUAGAAAUGCAGAAUUUGGGACUGAUUUCAAACCUCCUGAAUCAGAAUAUGCACUUUAACAAGAUCCACCAGGUCGUACUUUUGCACAUGAAAGUUUGAGAAGCACUGCUCUGAGUCAAGAGUUCACAAUGGAGUAUAUCAUUGAAUAAUGAAAUUGAAAUUUGAAGUCUAGAAGGUUUCAAAUACUUUAAUUCACGUAUAAGGAUGCUGAAGCCCAGGAAAGUGAAGUCAACAUCUUUCAGCAUCCCAGGGAAUCUAAAGUGUCAUUUCCUCUCUGGAAGAAAGGAAGCACAAAACAUGCUGGGCUUGCAUAUUUGGAUUACUCCCAUUCCGUCUCAAGGUUGGAGCUUGGGGAUGGAGCUUCAGGGAUCCCAGGCUGAAUUCACC